CUUACACAUGCAAGUCGAACGGCAGCGCGGGGCAACCUGGCGGGGAGUGGGGAACGGGUGAGUAAUAUAUCGGAACGUGCCCUGGAGUGGGGGAUAACGCAGCGAAAGUUGCGCUAAUACCGCAUACGAUCUAAGGAUGAAAGCGGGGGAUUCGCAAGAACCUCGUGCUCCUGGAGCGGCCGAUAUCUGAUUAGCUAGUUGGUGGGGUAAAGGCCUACCAAGGCAUCGAUCAGUAGCUGGUCUGAGAGGACGACCAGCCACACUGGAACUGAGACACGGUCCAGACUCCUACGGGAGGCAGCAGUGGGGAAUUUUGGACAAUGGGCGAAAGCCUGAUCCAGCAAUGCCGCGUGAGUGAAGAAGGCCUUCGGGUUGUAAAGCUCUUUUGUCAGGGAAGAAACGGUGAAGGCUAAUAUCCUUUGCUAAUGACGGUACCUGAAGAAUAAGCACCGGCUAACUACGUGCCAGCAGCCGCGGUAAUACGUAGGGUGCAAGCGUUAAUCGGAAUUACUGGGCGUAAAGCGUGCGCAGGCGGUUUUGUAAGUCUGUCGUGAAAUCCCCGGGCUCAACCUGGGAAUUGCGAUGGAGACUGCAAGGCUAGAAUCUGGCAGAGGGGGGUAGAAUUCCACGUGUAGCAGUGAAAUGCGUAGAGAUGUGGAGGAACACCGAUGGCGAAGGCAGCCCCCUGGGUCAAGAUUGACGCUCAUGCACGAAAGCGUGGGGAGCAAACAGGA
rnacentral:rRNA from 1 species